rnacentral:rRNA from 1 species
UACAGAGGUCUCAAGCGUUGUUCGGAUUCAUUGGGCGUAAAGGGUGCGUAGGCGGCGCCGUAAGUCAGGUGUGAAAUUUCGGAGCUUAACUCCGAAACUGCAUUUGAUACUGCGGUGCUUGAGGACUGGAGAGGAGACUGGAAUUUAUGGUGUAGCAGUGAAAUGCGUAGAGAUCGUAAGGAAGACCAGUGGCGAAGGCGGGUCUCUGGACAGUUCCUGACGCUGAGGCACGAAGGCCAGGGGAGCAAACGGG